rnacentral:rRNA from 1 species
AGUCACGACGCAUAUCAAUAAGCGGAGGAAAAGAAACCAACAGGGAUUGCCUUAGUAGCGGCGAGUGAAGCGGCAAAAGCUCAAAUUUGAAAUCUGGCUCUUUCAGAGUCCGAGUUGUAAUUUGAAGAAGGUAUCUUUGGGUCUGGCUCUUGUCUAUGUUUCUUGGAACAGAACGUCACAGAGGGUGAGAAUCCCGUGCGAUGAGAUGAUCCAGGCCUAUGUAAAGUUCCUUCGAAGAGUCGAGUUGUUUGGGAAUGCAGCUCUAAGUGGGUGGUAAAUUCCAUCUAAAGCUAAAUAUUGGCGAGAGACCGAUAGCGAACAAGUACAGUGAUGGAAAGAUGAAAAGAACUUUGAAAAGAGAGUGAAAAAGUACGUGAAAUUGUUGAAAGGGAAGGGCUUGAGAUCAGACUUGGUAUUUUGUAUGUUACUUCUUCGGGGGUGGCCUCUACAGUUUAUCGGGCCAGCAUCAGUUUGGGCGGUAGGAGAAUUGCGUUGGAAUGUGGCACGGCUUCGGUUGUGUGUUAUAGCCUUCGUCGAUACUGCCAGCCUAGACUGAGGACUGCGGUUUAUACCUAGGAUGUUGGCAUAAUGAUCUUAAGUCGCCCGUCUUGAAACACGGACCCCUGUGUGAA